CUCAGGUGCGGGACGUAAACCUUGCUCCACCUUCGGCGUCGUCCACUUUGGUGGCGCUGAUAGCUGCGCCGGGCAGACGGGCUACUCGAGCUGACCCUGGCAGACAGGCCCACUCACGCUGGGCCGGAGGACAGGCGGGCCACUCGGGCUGGGCCGGAGGACAGUCGGGCCACUCGGGCUAGGCCGGAGGACAGGCGGGCCACUCUGGCAGAUCCGACACGACGGGCCACUCUGGCGGGCCACUCUGGCAGACCAGGCACGACGGGCCACUCUGGCAGAUCCGGCUCAGGAUUCACCAGGCUGGGGAGACAAGAAGGAGGCCUGGCUCUGGGCGCAGGCGCUGGACUCACCAGUCUGGGAAGACCCGCUGGAGGCCUGGUUUGAGGAGGUGGCACAGGAGAGACCAGGGUGGAGAGACCCACUGGAGGACUGGUCCGUGGAGGAGGCACGGGUUUGACCAGGAUGGGGAGACCCACUGGAGGAGACCCACUGGAGGACUGGUCCGUGGAGAAGGCACGGGUUUGACCAGGAUGGGAAGACAUGCAGGAGGCCUGGUUCUGGGCGUAGGCACAGGACGUGCAGGGCUGGGAAGACAUGCAGGAGGCCUGUUUCUGGGCGCAGGCACAGUCUUUAUCAGACAACCAGCACGCACCUCAGGACGAGUAUGGAGAGCUGCCUCAGGUGACAUCAUUCCCACGACACGCUCAUUAGGGCGAAUGCCGUACUUUAUGCACCACACUAGCAGCUCUCUCAUCUCUCUCUCCUUUAAUUUACCCAUUAACUCUGUCACAGUCUCUGCCUCGUACCCCUCGCUCACCUCCCAUGUCAGCCCGACUGGCUCUGGUUCCGACCUCCGCUCCACCGACUGUCCCGUGUGCCCCCCCCCAAAAUGUUUUUAUUGGGGCUGCCUCGUUGCGCUCUCUCUCCUCGUAAUAGCGCCUCUCCGCUCUCGCCGCUUCAAUCUCCCACUGCGGGAGGCGAUAAUCCCCAGCCUGAGUCCAUGGUCCCUCUCCGUCCAGGAUUUGUUCCCAAGUCCAUUGGUCCAUCACGCUGUACUCCUGCUGCUCCUUCCUCUUCCGCCGCUUGGUCCUGGUUUGGUGGGUAAUUCUGUAACAGCUGUCUGAGGAAGUGGACCAAAAUGCGGCGGAGUUAGGGUUCGUCAUAUUUUAAUCAACGGAACACUAUACAAUUUAACAAAACAAGAAAACUGACAGCCAACACAGUCCUGUCAGGUGCAACCACUAUGACAAGAACAAUUACCCACGAAACACAAAGGAAACGUAGGCAACUUAUGUGUGACUCCCAAUCAACCACAACCCUCUACAGCUGUGCCUGAUUGGAAGUCACACGGCCAAAAUCAACGAAAC
rnacentral:lncRNA from 1 species